CAAUAGCGUAUAUUAAAGUUGUUGCAGUUAAAAAGCUCGUAGUUGGAUUUGUGGUGUACUUCGGCGGCCCGUCACUAUGUGAUGGAGCUUGCUGAAGUCGCCAUCCUUGGGUGGAUCCUGUGUGGCAUUAAGUUGUCGUGCAGGGGAUGCCCAUCGUUUACUGUGAAAAAAUUAGAGUGUUCAAAGCAGGCUUAUGCCGUUGAAUAUGUUAGCAUGGAAUAAUAAGAUAGGACCUUGGUAUUAUUUUGUUGGUUUGCGCACCAAGGUAAUGAUUAAUAGGGACAGUUGGGGGUAUUCGUAUUUCAUUGUCAGAGGUGAAAUUCUUGGAUUUUUGAAAGACGAACUACUGCGAAAGCAUUUACCAAGGAUGUUUNCAUUAA
rnacentral:rRNA from 1 species